rnacentral:rRNA from 1 species
CCCGCUUCUCGCGGCGGGCGGGGCGGGGGCACGGGGGGAACGCGAAGAACCUUACCUGGCCUUGACAUAGUAAGAACUUUCCAGAGAUGGAUUGGUGCCUUCGGGAACUUACAUACAGGUGCUGCAUGGCUGUCGUCAGCUCGUGUCGUGAGAUGUUGGGUUAAGUCCCGCAACGAGCGCAACCCUUUUCCUUAUUUGCCAGCGAGUAAUGUCGGGAACUUUAAGGAUACUGCCAGUGACAAACUGGAGGAAGGCGGGGACGACGUCAAGUCAUCAUGGCCCUUACGGCCAGGGCUACACACGUGCUACAAUGGUCGGUACAAAGGGUUGCUACACAGCGAUGUGAUGCUAAUCUCAAAAAGCCGAUCGUAGUCCGGAUUGGAGUCUGCAACUCGACUCCAUGAAGUCGGAAUCGCUAGUAAUUGCGGAUCAGAAUGGGUCGUUGAAUACCUUCCCGGGCCCUGUCACACCGCCCGUAUAGGAGGGGA